UACGUAGGGGGCAAGCGUUAUCCGGAUUUACUGGGUGUAAAGGGUGCGCAGGCGGUCUGUUAAGUCAGCGGUCAAAGCCCGGGGCUCAACCCCGGCCCGCCGUUGAAACUGGCAGUCUCGAGUUGGAGAGAAGUAUGCGGAAUGCGCGGUGUAGCGGUGAAAUGCAUAGAUAUCGCGCAGAACACCGAUUGCGAAGGCAUCUCACGAAUCCGCGAUUGACGCUGAUGCACGAAAGCGUGGGUAUCAAACAGG
rnacentral:rRNA from 1 species